AGGCCCGUGGCCCAGACUGGAUAGGUAGCGCCCUCCUAAGGCGAAGAUCGGGAGUUCGAAAUGUGGACUUUCAAUUCGAAAGCUCAAGAAAAUCUCCCCGGGCCUG
rnacentral:tRNA from 1 species